rnacentral:rRNA from 1 species
CCUACGGGGGGCUGCAGUGAGGAAUAUUGGUCAAUGGGCGAGAGCCUGAACCAGCCAAGUAGCGUGAAGGAUGAAGGCUCUAUGGGUCGUAAACUUCUUUUAUAUGGGAAUAAAGUUUUCCACGUGUGGAAUUUUGUAUGUACCAUAUGAAUAAGGAUCGGCUAACUCCGUGCCAGCAGCCGCGGUAAUACGGAGGAUCCGAGCGUUAUCCGGAUUUAUUGGGUUUAAAGGGAGCGUAGAUGGAUGUUUAAGUCAGUUGUGAAAGUUUGCGGCUCAACCGUAAAAUUGCAGUUGAAACUGGCAGUCUUGAGUACAGUAGAGGUGGGCGGAAUUCGUGGUGUAGCGGUGAAAUGCUUAGAUAUCACGAAGAACUCCGAUUGCGAAGGCAGCCUGCUAAGCUGCAACUGACAUUGAGGCUCGAAAG